CUAUGCUUAGGGCUUCUAUGGAGGUGUUAUAAGUAAGUAUCGUAUAAUGGAACAUUGAUAGUGACGAAGGCGGGGCUAGGAACAGAAGUGGAGGGGACCAGAAAUGAGGACUACUUAGGUGACAUGGAUGCCUGGGGAAGGGACUCACUGCAGGUUCUGUCUGCUCAGUUCCUUCAGAGACACCUGGGCCCUCUGCCUCCUGCUGAUGUUGUCAACCACAGGAGGAGCUUAGGAUAGGAGUUGAAAAGAAAACAUUAAAAACUCUUCAAGAUGUGAGCUCAGAGGAGCCCGAGAAUGUCCACCCAGUGGGGAAAAAUGGCGAAGUGAAUCAGUCCUGAUUCUGCCAGAGUUUUCACCCAUCUCUUGGGGUUCUCUCGUUUUGAUUUCUGCUGCCACCAGCUAAAAGUGUUUCAAGAGAGAGACAGAGCAUGAACGGGGGAG